UACGUAGGGUGCAGGCGUUAAUCGGAAUUACUGGGCGUAAAGCGUGCGCAGGCGGUUUCUUAAGUCAGAUGUGAAAGCCCCGGGCUUAACCUGGGAACUGCGUUUGAAACUGGGAGACUUGAGUGUGGCAGAGGGGGGUGGAAUUCCACGUGUAGCAGUGAAAUGCGUAGAUACGUGGAGGAACACCGAUGGCGAAGGCAGCCCCCUGGGUUAACACUGACGCUCAUGCACGAAAGCGUGGGGAGCAAACAGG
rnacentral:rRNA from 1 species